CAGCUCGGCCGUUAACCGCUUCGGCGCGGCCCUUCGCCCCGCCCUUGAGGCGCUGCCUGAGGGGCGGCCACGCGUGGCGGUGCUCGCCGUGACGCGAUGCGAAAAGGGCUCUAACUCCGCGUUCUGCCCCGUCUGGGCGGUUCUGGCUCCUGGCGGGGAGCGUUUCCCCGAGAUGGGAAAGUGUGAGAAACGGAGGCAGCACGGCUGGGCGCGACGCUGAGAGGCAGAGGAAGGUAAAGCCUGAAGAACCCGUCCCAGCCUCCGAAGGCUGUGACCACGUCGAUAAAGCAGCACUUGGAGGGAGGUGCAGUAGACAAACAUCAGCAUUCUUCAUUUGCAUUACUUAGACACAAUGGGAAUAACAUCUCCAUAGUGGCCUGAGAACACACGUCAGUCACAUAUUUCAAUCUCCACGGCCUUCAUGAUUCACGCAAAAAACCAUCACCAUCUGGAGUAUGGAUAACAGAAGAACAAAGAGCUGACAUUCUAGCGAGGAUCCUGCAGGAAGUUCUAAGUUGGAACGUUAAUAAAGUCAGUUGACAUGCUGUUAUGAGUACUUCUUUGCAAAGUGAGAAGUAGAGCACUUGUAACAGCAUUAAGCAUCUAACGUGCCUUUUAUUUGAGCUCCAGAAGUUAGGUAUGCCCCAAAAACUUGGGAACUGCAAGGCACAGCCUUAUAUCAGAUGAGUAAAAAUACAGCUCUAAUUCGCAUUUGUGAAGUAACUGCUUAUAUUCCUUAAACAGUAACAAUACAGCAUAUUUUGUUUGGAAUUAUUUUAUUUGGAUUAGAGCAAUUAGUAUCACUGGUCAGUAGGCCAAAUCCAGGCAGAGAGCACAGAAUCAGUUUCACAAGGCAACAACACAGACUAGUAUUUGAGCAUACAAACC